UGUUGAAUGAGGUAAGCCGCAGGUC
rnacentral:misc_RNA from 1 species